UCGGGUGUGGUGCAUGGUGCACAUCAGCUGCCAGUGUGGAAGGUUUCUACCAGAGCUCACGCUGGAGACCGGGGUUCGACUCCCCGCACCCGAA